rnacentral:rRNA from 1 species
UGAAAAACCCGUUCGCCGAAAGACCAAGGGUUCCAGUCCAACGUUAAUCGGGGCUGGGUGAGUCGACCCCUAAGGCGAGGCCGAAAGGCGUAGUCGAUGGGAAAUUGGUUAAUAUUCCAAUACUUCUGUGUAAUGCGAUGAGAGGACGGAGAAGGUUAAGUCAGCCUGGCGUUGGUUGUCCAGGUGGAAGGAUGUAGGUAUGUAUCUUAGGCAAAUCCGGGGUACUCUAUACUGAGAUCCGAUAGCAAGCUGUACUUGUACAGCGAAGUGGCUGAUACCAUGCUUCCAGGAAAAGUCUCUAAGCUUCAGUUACACAGGAAUCGUACCCGAAACCGACACAGGUGGUCAGGUCGAGUAGACCAAGGCGCUUGAGAGAACUCUGCUGAAGGAACUAGGCAAAAUGGUACCGUAACUUCGGGAGAAGGUACGCUGUUGUUGGUGAUGGAACUUGCUUCCUGAGCUGAUGACAGCCGCAGAAACCAGGCCGCUGCAACUGUUUAUUAAAAACAUAGCACUCUGCAAACACGAAAGUGGACGUAUAGGGUGUGAUGCCUGCCCGGUGCUGGAAGGUUAAUUGAUGGGGUUAGCGUAAGCGAAGCUCUUGAUCGAAGCCCCAGUAAACGGCGGCCGUAACUAUAACGGUCCUAAGGUAGCGAAAUUCCUUGUCGGGUAAGUUCCGACCUGCACGAAUGGCAUAAUGAUGGCGGCGCUGUCUCCAGCAGAGGCUCAGUGAAAUCGAAAUCGCUGUGAAGAUGCAGUGUACCCGCGGCUAGACGGAAAGACCCCGUGAACCUUUACUGCAGCUUGACACUGAACUUUGACCUUACUUGUGUAGGAUAGGUGGGAGGCUUUGAAGUUGGAACGCUAGUUCCAAUGGAGCCGUCCUUGAAAUACCACCCUGGUAAUGUUGAGGUUCUAACUCUGUCCCGUUAUCCGGGACGAGGACCGUGUCUGGUGGGUAGUUUGACUGGGGCGGUCUCCUCCUAAAGAGUAACGGAGGAGUACGAAGGUGCGCUCAGCGUGGUCGGAAAUCACGCGUAGAGUAUAAAGGCAAAAGCGCGCUUAACUGCGAGACCCACAAGUCGAGCAGGUACGAAAGUAGGUCUUAGUGAUCCGGUGGUUCUGUAUGGAAGGGCCAUCGCUCAACGGAUAAAAGGUACUCUGGGGAUAACAGGCUGAUACCGCCCAAGAGUUCAUAUCGACGGCGGUGUUUGGCACCUCGAUGUCGGCUCAUCUCAUCCUGGGGCUGAAGCAGGUCCCAAGGGUAUGGCUGUUCGCCAUUUAAAGAGGUACGCGAGCUGGGUUUAGAACGUCGUGAGACAGUUCGGUCCCUAUCUACCGUGGGCGCUGGAAAUUUGAGAGGAUCUGCUCCUAGUACGAGAGGACCAGAGUGGACGAACCUCUGGUGUACCGGUUGUGACGCCAGUCGCAUCGCCGGGUAGCUAUGUUCGGAAGGGAUAACCGCUGAAAGCAUCUAAGCGGGAAGCCUACCUCAAGAUAAGAUUUCCCUAGGAAUUUAUUCCUCUAAAGAGCCGUUCGAGACUAGGACGUUGAUAGGUUGGAUGUGGAAGCAUAGUGAUAUGUGAAGCUGACCAAUACUAAUUGCUCGUGAGGCUUGACU